AGUGAACGCUGGCGGUAGGCCUAACACAUGCAAGUCGAACGGCAGCACAGUAAGAGCUUGCUCUUACGGGUGGCGAGUGGCGGACGGGUGAGGAAUACAUCGGAAUCUACUUUUUCGUGGGGGAUAACGUAGGGAAACUUACGCUAAUACCGCAUACGACCUACGGGUGAAAGCAGGGGAUCUUCGGACCUUGCGCGAGUGAAUGAGCCGAUGUCGGAUUAGCUAGUUGGCGGGGUAAAGGCCCACCAAGGCGACGAUCCGUAGCUGGUCUGAGAGGAUGAUCCGACACACUGGAAGUGAGACACGGUCCAGACUCCUACGGGAGGCCGCAGUGGGGACUAUUGGACAAGGGGGGCAAGCCUGAUCCAGCCAUACCGCGUGGGUGAAGAAGGCCUUCGGGUUGUAAAGCCCUUUUGUUGGGAGAGAAAAGCAGCAGGUUAAUCCCCCGCUGUUCUGACGGUACCCAAAGAAUAAGCACCGGCUAACUUCGUG
rnacentral:rRNA from 1 species